rnacentral:misc_RNA from 1 species
AGACUCAAUCCCUCGGGUUUCCGAGGAGAUUGGACUUGGGCGUUGCCGCUCUGCCGGCUCGCCUUAAAAGACUUAGCGGGAUAGCACCGUAGUCGGCGUAAUAAGUUUCGUCGGUGAAGGUUGUGAUAACUGCUCACAAUCGCCCUCUGGCAAUUUUUGA